AAAAGCUUCGUGGUGAAUGGCGACAAUGCGACUGUUCAUGGAUUACCUUAUCCUGUUGAGCUUUAUGUCAGAUGUGGUGCUGGGAGAUCCAGUCAGACAGCAGACAGCGGAGCUGAGCAAACAAGAGGGAGGCACAGUGAGUCUAAGCUGCUCAUAUACCACCAGCUCGAACUAUGCUGCUCUGUACUGGUACAGACAUCACCCAGGCCUCGCUCCACAAUACAUUCUCUACAGACAUACCAAUGGGGUAGACAACACUGCAGAUUACGCCAAAGGCCGUUUCACUUCACAUCUGGACAAGAAUCAGGAACAAACCACAUUAAUCAUUCUCAGUGUCAUUGUCACUGACUCUGCCGCAUGUUUUCAGCGCCUCAGUAACACAGACACCAUCCUCUAUUAG